CGAAUCCUGAUGUGUUCGCAACGUGCUAAUCAGUUUUGACCGAACAACUAUAUCGUCGGGAGUCUAACUUUUAUUAUAAAUGACAUGCCCUUAAUAGGGACGCCAGGAUUAAUAAAGAGGACACCCACCUGCUAAAUGCGGGUUCAAAACGAUACGCUUUAUUUGUCGGCACUAUUGGGAUUCGU
rfam:Psychrobacillus sp. FJAT-21963 super11, whole genome shotgun sequence.